CCAUCUAUAUAACACAUGAGGAUUGACAUAAAUUAACAUGAAACAUACAAACAUAUAUAAAUUUGUACAUAUAUAUAUCUAAUUUGUACAUGGUUGAUGUUCAAGUAUCUUAGUGUUCUUCAUUUUGGUCCAGUACGUUAGUUGUUCUUAUAUAGUACACAAAUAUGCAUAGCACAUAUGAACUAUGAUGAUCUAUAUUAGUGUUCUUAUAUUAUGAAACAGCCAAAACUCUAGUAAUUAAGUGGACCAUGGAGCUGAUUAAGUGGACCAUGGAGCUGAUUACUACCCCUAGUAAACUUUAUUUUUUUGCAUCUAAGUUGAUUUUUCUCCGUUUUAAGGUGUGUUAUGGCCUUUAGAAAUACUGUUUUUCAAGUUUAAUACCCCCAGUAGAAGUUUACUACCUCUAGUAAACUUUAGUAAAAAUUUUACUAACCCCAGUAAACUUUAUUUUUUUGCAUCUAAGUUGAUUUUUCUCCGUUUUAAGGUGUGUUAUGGCCUUUAGAAAUACUGUUUUUCAAGUUUAAUACCCCCAGUAGAAGUUUACUACCUCUAGUAAACUUUAGUAAAAUUUUUACUAACCCCAGUAAACUUUAUUUUUUUUGCAUCUAAGUUGAUUUU